GAUGAACGCUAGCUACAGGCUUAACACAUGCAAGUCGAGGGGAAACGACAUCGAAAGCUUGCUUUUGAUGGGCGUCGAUCGGCGCACGGGUGAGUAACGCGUAUCCAACCUGCCCAUCACUUGGGGAUAACCUUGCGAAAGUAAGACUAAUACCCAAUGAUAUCUCUAGAAGACAUCUGAAAGAGAUUAAAGAUUUAUCGGUGAUGGAUGGGGAUGCGUCUGAUUAGCUUGUUGGCGGGGUAACGGCCCACCAAGGCAACGAUCAGUAGGGGUUCUGAGAGGAAGGUCCCCCACAUUGGAACUGAGACACGGUCCAAACUCCUACGGGAGGCAGCAGUGAGGAAUAUUGGUCAAUGGGCGAGAGCCUGAACCAGCCAAGUAGCGUGCAGGAAGACGGCCCUAUGGGUUGUAAACUGCUUUUAUAAGGGAAUAAAGUGAGAGUCGUGACUCUUUUUGUAUGUACCUGAUGAAUAAGGACCGGCUAAUUCCGU
rnacentral:rRNA from 1 species